GUUGUCGCUCUAUCUUCUGCGUAGAGGGAGGCAAAUCCCCCUUUACAGAAGCAGAGACAUGAUGGGGAGUUAAAGGAGACUUUGACGAACUCAUGGAUCCCACACUGCCAAGAAAAACUUCUAGCGAGACGAAAUCCGCCCGUACCGUAAACCGACACAGGUAUGCGGGGAGAGAAUCCUAAGGUGCGCGGGAAAACCCUCGUUAAGGAACUCGGCAAAUUGCAUCCGUAACUUCGGGAGAAGGAUGACCCUGAGUAGGCGAAAGGGAGAAACCCCCGGAACAGAAAAGGGUGGCAGAAAAGAGGCCCAAGCAACUGUUUACCAAAAACACAGGUGCCUGCGAAAGCGAAAGCUGAAGUAUAGGUGCUGACGCCUGCCCGGUGCUGGAAGGUUAAGGAGAGAGGUCAGCGAAAGCGAAGCUUUGAACUGAAGCCCCAGUGAACGGCGGCCGUAACCAUAACGGUCCUAAGGUAGCGAAAUUCCUUGCCGGGUAAGUUCCGACCCGCAUGAAAGGCGUAAUGAUUUGGGCACUGUCUCAACGAGAGGCCCGGUGAAAUUGAAAUACCUGUGAAGAUGCAGGUUACCCGCGACUGGACAGAAAGACCCCAUGGAGCUUCACUGCAGCUUGAGAUUGAAUCCCGGUGACAUAUGCACAGGAUAGGUGGGAGGCUAAGAAGUAAUGCCUUUGGGUGUUACAGAGCCGAUGUUGGGAUACCACCCUUAUGUUGCUGAGAUUCUAACACGGAGACUAACAACCUCGUGGACCAUCUCAGGCAGGCGGUUUGACUGGGGCGGUCGCCUCCUAAAAUGUAACGGAGGCGCCCAAAGGUUCCCUCAGGCCGGACAGAAACCGGCCGAAGAGUGCAAAGGCAGAAGGGAGCUUGACUGCGAGACAGACAAGUCGAGCAGAGACGAAAGUCGGGCUUAGUGAUCCGGUGGUACUGAGUGGAAAGGCCAUCGCUCAACGGAUAAAAGCUACCCUGGGGAUAACAGGCUAAUCUCUCCCAAGAGUUCAUAUCGACGGGGAGGUUUGGCACCUCGAUGUCGGCUCAUCACAUCCUGGAGCUGGAGUAGGUUCCAAGGGUUGGGCUGUUCGCCCAUUAAAGUGGUACGCGAGCUGGGUUCAAAACGUCGUGAGACAGUUUGGUUCAUAUCCAUCGCGGGCGCAAGAAGUUUGAGGGAGGCUGCUCCUAGUACGAGAGGACCGGAGUGGACGGAUCAACGGUGUACCAGUUGUCACGCCAGUGGCACGGCUGGAAAGCCGCAUCCGGAAAGGAUAAACGCUGAAAGCAUCUAAGCGUGAAGCCCGUCCCGAGAUGAGACUUCUCAUCAGCAAUGAGUAAGACCCCUUAAAGACGAUGAGGUUGAUAGGCUGUGAGUGGAAGUGGCGCAAGUCAUGGAGCGACGCAGUACUAAUAGGUCGAGGUCUUACC
rnacentral:rRNA from 1 species